rnacentral:lncRNA from 1 species
GUCUAGCUAGGGUUAACCCAUUUUUUCAUAAACAUAGCAGUUUCAGAGAAACUGCUAUGUUUAUGAAUGGGUUAAGCCUUCCCCCUAAUCCUCUAGUGGCUGUCUCAUUGACAGCCAUUAGAGGCGCUUGCGUGCUUCUCACUGUGAUUUUCACAGUGAGAGCACGCAAGCGUCCAUAGGAAAGCAUUAUGAAUGCUUUCCUAUGUGACCGGCUGAAUGUGCGC